UACAGAGGGUGCAAGCGUUAAUCGGAAUUACUGGGCGUAAAGCGUGCGUAGACGGUUGCGUAAGUCAGAUGUGAAAGCCCCGGGCUCAACCUGGGAAUUGCAUUUGAGACUGCGUAGCUAGGGUGCGGAAGAGGGAAGCGGAAUUUCCGGUGUAGUGGUGAAAUGCGUAGAUAUCGGAAGGAACACCAGUGGCGAAAGCGGCUUCCUGGUCCAGCACCGACGUUCAGGCACGAAAGCGUGGGGAGCAAACAGG
rnacentral:rRNA from 1 species